AUGUGGUGGGAGAAAAAAAAACCUCUGGGAAUUUGCAAGUGCCAAGAAGGACAGCUGAAGGACAGGACUCUAAAAUAUUUGCCUUUCUUGGGUAGCAUGACCUUUCUACAGCUAUGGCUUUCUUUUAUUCAGGCUUCAAUCGGGGUGGCUACAACCAGAACCGCUGGGGAGGUGGAAACCGUGACAGCAACAACAACAACCGGGGGAACUACAACCGGAACAACCAACCCCCGAGCAACUACAGCCCAGCACGCAACCAAAACACCUACAAGAGCAGCAGCAAUCUGGGACCCUCCCCUCCAGCCCCUGCUGCUAAUCCUCCUCCCAGUACUUAUCCUCCAGCGCCACAGUACGCCCAGCAGUGGAGCCAAUACUAUCAAAACCAGAGUCAGUGGCCUCCAUACUAUGGCAGCUACGACUACGGGAGCUACGCGGGCACCUCGCAGGGUGGCUCCGGCACUCAGUGAUGACGGCGUGUCAUUCUUGGAAAGGAGCAAGUCGCUCUGCCGUCUUCGGCAAGUUUUUAACUUGAUAGCGGGCAUUUAUGAGUCUCCAGGGAUCUGGGAAGGACAUUGCCUCUCUGCCCUUCCCUCCUUGCCGUAGUUCCGGAGGGUGGCUGCAUUUUUACCUGUACAGCUAGAGGCAUGUUUUCCUUCUCUCUCUCUGUACCAUCCCCUCUUGAGGAAAUUACAUGAUUUCUUGUCUCUCCUUGUUGAAAAUAGUUUUAUUCCUUUUUAAAAAUUACUCUUGAUUCUGAAGAAGCUCGAGUCUUCAGCCUCACAUCCUUGUAUUUUUUUAGGCCACGAUCCAUCCUCGUAUCAAACGUUCCACAGUAGUUGGGGUGAUCCCUUUUGCAGCCUUCUUAGGACUUGCCACCACCCUCCCACCCCACCUCCCAUGACUCCCAUAAAUUCCAGUCAUUUUGGAAACUCUUCCUGCAGUUUGUUGUCACCUGUCUUUGAGGUGUUUUUAUCUGUCUUUUCUGCAAAUAACUAUUAAAACUGGAGGGCAAAGAGAUGGCUUAUCUUAUGGUAAUUACAGUUUUGGGUUUGUUUGUUUUUUUAGAUUUUUCUGUAACUUUUUACUGUGGGUCAGCAGCUGUUAAUAUUUUCAUCAAGGUAACAAUUCUUUUUUGCUCAAUAUAGGAGAGGGGGAAAAACAAAAGAGGGGGGAAAUCAUCUUAAAUGUGUAACUUUUUAUACAAUGUCUAAGUUUCUGUAACUUUGCACAUGCUUUGUGUUGAGUUGAAUUGUAACAGCUUUUUGUAUUUGGAGAGGAAAAAAGAGUGAAUAUUGAACUUUAAAAUAUUUGUCUUGCGUGUUUUUCCUUUCCUUUUCAACCUUCAUACUGUAUUCUGACUGCAACAUACACAGACACAAUGUUACUAGAUCUUCACUGAGAUUCCUGCCUCUUAGAACUUCUGUUUACUCACCCUUUUCUCCCAUUUGCUGUAGCAGACAGUAAUGGAGAAGGUUCAACAGCUGUCUGCUCAGGAUGGUGCUAAGCUGUUACAGAAAUACAUGAACACCUCUCCAUUCACAUACAAAAUGUCUUUGUGAAAAGACCUUGAGAUCCAAGACUCUCAUUGGUCCCUAAUUGCCCA
rnacentral:lncRNA from 1 species